rnacentral:lncRNA from 1 species
AAUCUACCAAAUAGAGUUACCAGCCUUUGAAGAAAUGACACCAGAAGGUGCUAGAAACCCAAAAGGUAAUGGGCCUCACCAUUAAGGAAUAGAUCGGUCUUACAAUCCUAACCCAAGAAGAAAGCCCCAAUGUAGUUUGGGUUUGGGUACCCAUAGGGUACACAUUUGUUGCAAUGCACAUGCAAGAUACUUGGCCUAGACCUUUGCCAGUGUUCCCUGGUCCUGUGAUGAAGCAGUCAAGGAGACCUUAUGCCCUGCAAAAAAAUCAGAGACAGACAACUUUCUCGGUGAAGAGACUUGUAGACCCUCACGUGAGUAAAGAGGCCAACACGUG